rnacentral:lncRNA from 1 species
AUGCCAGUUAUUAAAGAAAUAACGGGCCUUUCUUUGCUUGCCAGAUCUGUCCUGAACUAUGAGGAGAGAAGUAGCACCCAAGAGAACAGAUUCAUGAACUCCACAGUCCCAGCAUACAGCAAGCCUGACUGGAACGAAGCAAAGUCCUUCCAAGAUUUCAAAGAGGUGGACACUCCUAGAGACAGGGAGCAUGAGAGCACACUGGCCUCACAUGACCAUAAGCUAGAGGUAGCCCAAGGAGGGUUUUCUGACUCAAACCACCAUGCUGAGAAGGGGCAAGAACCUCCUGAUGUCCACCCAGAGCCUCCCAAGUCAAACAAACAUGCUGACCAUGACCUGAGUAUGGCAAUGUAA